GUAGGGAAUAUUGCGCAAUGGACGAAAGUCUGACGCAGCGACGCCGCGUGAGUGAUGAAGGUCUUAGGAUUGUAAAAUUCUUUCACCGGGGACGAUAAUGACGGUACCCGGAGAAGAAGCUCCGGCUAACUUCGUGCCAGCAGCCGCGGUAAUACGAAGGGGGCUAGCGUUGCUCGGAAUUACUGGGCGUAAAGGGCGCGUAGGCGGACAGCUUAGUCAGAGGUGAAAGCCCAGGGCUCAACCUUGGAAUUGCCUUUGAUACUGGCUGUCUUGAGUUUGGGAGAGGUGAGUGGAACUCCGAGUGUAGAGGUGAAAUUCGUAGAUAUUCGGAAGAACACCAGUGGCGAAGGCGACUCACUGGCCCAAUACUGACGCUGAGGCGCGAAAGCGUGGGGAGCAAACAGGAUUAGAUACCCGGGUAGUCC
rnacentral:rRNA from 1 species